ACAGCUUAAAUAUUAUAAUAAAAUACAACACUUACAAAUUAAAUUAUAUCUAAUUUGACUUUAGAUAUGUGUCCCAUAUCUUCUUAAUGGUUUCCUGAAGACUUCUGAGUUGGUGGAACACAGAAAAAACAGAUAAGGAGGACACACAGUGUACAAAUACUGGGAAUCCCAGAGGGGGAGGAAGGUAAGAAGCUACCAUAUAUCCUACAUUAUGCUACAAAGAACAACUCACUGUAUAUUGAGAGCUUAUCAUGUUGCUGUGAAAAGGGCACCAUAGGAGACCAGCAACUGCAGAACUACUCUCCUAAAGUUAAUGGACUUGGGGGGUCAAGGGAAGAGUAUUUUUGUCUGCACAAAGCAUCAAGGACAUUUAGUUUAAUAAGUGGCAAAUUUUGAUUUUUUUUUUCCCAGUGCUGGGCCCUGCACUCAGCAAAAUUGUGCUCUUCAGUGCCCAGAAAACAUGCUUUCCAAG
rnacentral:lncRNA from 1 species